GGUUUUUAUCUGGCUCAGAUUGAACGCUGGCGGCAUGCUUUACACAUGCAAGUCGAACGGUAACAGGGUGCUUGCACCGCUGACGAGUGGCGAACGGGUGAGUAAUGCAUCGGAAUGUACCGUGUAAUGGGGGAUAGCUCGGCGAAAGCCGGAUUAAUACCGCAUACGCCCUGAGGGGGAAAGUGGGGGACCGUAAGGCCUCACGUUAUACGAGCAGCCGAUGUCUGAUUAGCUAGUUGGUGAGGUAAAGGGCUCACCAAGGCGUCGAUCAGUAGCGGGUCUGAGAGGAUGAUCCGCCACACUGGGACUGAGACACGGCCCAGACUCCUACGGGAGGCAGCAGUGGGGAAUUUUGGACAAUGGGCGCAAGCCUGAUCCAGCCAUGCCGCGUGUCUGAAGAAGGCCUUCCGGUUGUAAANGACUUUUGUCCGGGAGCAAAUCCUAGUGGUUAAUAGNCGCUGGGUCCUAAAAGUACCGGAAGAG
rnacentral:rRNA from 1 species